rnacentral:rRNA from 1 species
UACGAAGGGAGCUAGCGUUGUUCGGAAUUACUGGGCGUAAAGGGCGCGUAGGCGGUUUAGUAAGUCAGAUGUGAAAGCCCCGGGCUUAACCUGGGAACAGCAUUUGAUACUGCUAGACUUGAGAUCGAGAGAGGAGAGUGGAAUUGCGAGUGUAGAAGUGAAAUUCGUAGAGAUUCGCAGGAACACCAGUGGCGAAGGCGACUCUCUGGUUCGAUACUGACGCUAAGGCGCGAAAGAGUGGGGAGCAAACAGG